ACGCAGGCGCGCUGCGAGUGACGUCAGGCAACAUGGCUGCGUCCUGCUUGGUUUUCCUCGUCGCUUAGGCAAGCCCUGGAUUUCCACCAGCAUGUUUCCCCUCCGAGGCCGUGGCCUCUGGGUCGCAGCGACCCUCUCCAGACAACACCUUCCGUCUGCCCGGCUCAGCGGCGACAGCGCGGCGCCCCGCUCCCCGCACUUCGACGUGGUGGUCGUCGGCGGAGGCCAUGCGGGGACCGAGGCUGCUGCAGCCGCCGCGCGCUGCGGCUCCCGGACUCUGCUCCUCACGCACCGCGUAGAUACGAUCGGUCAGAUGUCCUGUAAUCCUUCCUUUGGUGGCAUUGGAAAAGGACAUUUAAUGAGGGAAGUGGAUGCCUUGGAUGGCCUGUGUUCUCGCAUCUGUGACCAGUCUGGUGUGCAUUACAAAGUGCUAAAUCGGCGUAAGGGGCCGGCUGUAUGGGGACUGCGAGCUCAGAUUGAUAGGAAACUCUAUAAACAAAACAUGCAGAAAGAAAUCCUGAACACACCACUACUCACUGUUCAGGAAGGAGCUGUGGAAGAUCUCAUUUUGUCAGAGCCAGAGCCUGGGCACACUGGGAAAUGCCGUGUCAGUGGUGUUGUUUUGGUGGAUGGGAGCACAGUCCAUGCAGAGAGUGUGAUCCUGACCACUGGGACGUUUCUGAGAGGCAUGGUUGUGAUUGGACUGGAAAUGCAUCCCGCAGGACGUCUGGGGGAUCAACCUUCUGUAGGAUUGGCUCAGACUCUGGAGAAGUUGGGGUUUGUGGUGGGAAGAUUGAAGACUGGGACUCCACCCCGAAUUGCGAAAGAGUCUAUUGAUUUCAGUAUUCUAAACAAGCAGACACCAGAUAAUCCAUCUGUACCGUUCAGCUUCCUCAAUGAGACUGUGUGGAUUAAGCCAGAAGAUCAGCUGCCCUGUCAUCUGACUCACACCAACCCUAGGGUGGACGCCAUCAUCCUUGAGAACCUUCACCUUAACAGUCACGUGAAGGAAACGACAAAAGGGCCUCGAUACUGCCCCUCCAUUGAGUCAAAGGUUUUGCGCUUUCCAAACCGUGUCCAUCAGGUUUGGUUGGAACCUGAAGGAAUGGAUUCUGACCUUAUCUACCCUCAGGGGUUGUCUGUGACACUGCCAGCUGAGUUGCAGGAAAAGAUGAUCACAUGCAUCCGAGGCUUGGAGAAAGCAAAAAUGAUGCAGCCAGGCUAUGGUGUGCAGUACGAUUACUUAGACCCCCGGCAGAUCACACCUUCCCUUGAGACCCGUUUGGUUCAGCGACUCUUCUUUGCUGGACAGAUCAACGGCACCACAGGUUAUGAGGAAGCUGCAGCUCAGGGUGUGAUAGCGGGAGUGAACGCUAGUCUUCGGAUCAACUGCAAACCGCCCUUCAUUGUCAGCCGGACAGAAGGCUACAUAGGUGUCCUGAUCGAUGACCUCACCACAUUGGGCGCCAGUGAACCCUACCGCAUGUUCACCAGCCGCGCUGAGUUCCGUCUAUCACUGCGCCCAGAUAACGCCGACAGCCGGCUCACAUUCCGAGGGUACAAGGAAGCUGGCUGUGUGUCCCAGCAGCGGUAUGACAGAGCUGCUUGGAUGAAGUCUUCCUUAGAGGAAGGCAUUGCUGUGUUGAAAUCUAUUGAGUGUUCAAGCACCAAGUGGAAAAAGUUAGUCCCACAGGCUUCUAUAAGUACCAGUAGAAGUGUCUCUGUCAGGGCUCUAGAUGUCCUGAAGUAUGAGGAAGUGGACAUGGAGUUGUUGGCCAAGGCUGUUCCAGACCCUUUGAAGAAGUAUACUGAAUGUCGAGAGCUAGCUGAGAGGCUAAAAAUAGAAGCCUCUUACGAAUCCAUCUUACUGUAUCAACUACAAGAAAUAAAGGAAGUUCAGAGAGAUGAGGCCCUCCAGCUGCCAGAAGACCUGGAUUAUUUGGGUAUCAAAGAUGUGUCUUUGUCCCAUGAAGUUCGGGAGAAACUACAUCUCAGUCGUCCACAGACGGGAUUGAACUCACGACCACCUGCUUGCAAGGCAGUUGCUAUGCUGCUGAACUAAAUCCCCAGCCCCUACUCAUAAGAUUCUUAAGAUGGGCACUGAUGGAAGUAUAAUCCCAGCACUUAGAAGACUGAAGCAGAAGGAUCACCAUGAGUUUGAGGCCAGCCUGGGCUACAUAAUGAGUUCAAAAGGCAGCCUGUACUACAUGGCAAAACCGUCUCAAAACAAAUAAAAAUCUUACAUUGUAGUUUAUUGCUGUGUGAGAGACACUGGUCUCUGAGAGAUAGUAAAGCUUAGUUGAAAUAAAUAAUUGGAGCUAAGAACUGGCUUGACUAUCAGCCUGUACUAUUGUGUGCUAAACCACCAGUGUAAAGUCACAUCCUGGAUGUAUGACCUAGACAACACAUGGCUGGCUUUCCCGUCACUCCUAGGGCUGCAUGGCACUGCUUAGAAGCUGUGGGGAGAGGAAACCCCGAGGACCUCCACCUGUAUGUCUGCCUAAUUGUGUGAAGAUUGGGGCUGCCAGUCGUGUACCUGGAGUGACCCCAGCUGCCAUCGUUAAUCUGCUCAAGUUUGUGAAGAUGGUUCAUCGAAGACAGGCAGUUGAGAAUGGAUCUUCCCCCGAUGAUCCACACUUAACUGAUACAGGCAAAUUUCAAGAGUUAUAGUUUUCCGUCCACAAAAGAAGACUUUUAGAGUGUGAAUAAUUUAAUCUGUACAAAAGUAUAAAUAGGAGAUAACUAUUUUAACACCUGUGGACAUAGCUCUGUGAGGUUUGUCAUUUAUUUAUGAAGAAAAUAGAGAUUACAUUUGUGCUCUUUGAGGGGGGAUUCAUGUUGUGUGCCUAUAAUCGCAGCAUUCUGGUAAGCUGAGAUAGGAGGAUCCCAAAUUCAGUCCCAGCCCAGAUAAAAUAGCAACAUAGCGAAGACCCUGGGUUCAAACAUAAAAAGUUCAGUACUUUUUAUGUUUAUUUUUUUGUCUUUGAGAGAGGGUUUUACUGUCAGUUCAGGCCGACCUCAAUCUCAUGGCAAUCCUCCUGCCUCAGCCUCCUGAGUGCUGGGAUUACAGAUGUGUGCCACCACACCCAGAAGAUUCUGGUAGUGUUUUUUUGUUUUGUUUUGUUUUGUUGUUUUUGGUACUGGGAACCAAACUCAGGACAUCAUGCUUGCCAGGCAGGUGCUAUAGCAUUGAGCUAUAUCCCCAGCCCUCUAGUACUGUUUCUUAAAAAUGCUUUUUUGUAUAUCUGAAAAUAAUUGUAGGUAGUUCAUAUAGUAAGGAGUUCCAAUAUAGCGAUCUUACUCAUAUACUUUAUUCAGUCUUCAUCAGAGAGAUAAUAGUGAAGCUAAAACUAUAAGCAUCUGGGAAGCUGAGGCAGGAGGUUAGCUAUGAGUUCAAGAAAAUAAUGAAGCCAAAACUAAACCUGAAAAAAACCUCAACUUGUAGAUUUGCCUACUCACAAGUACUCUGCUCAUGAAAUAUAUUACCCACCCAGAUCCCCCAACCACAUCCCAGUCUCUUGGCCCCAGUCCAGUUUUUUUAACAAAAGAUCAGUCUCUGCUAAAAGCUCACAGUUUGGUCAACCCACUCAGGACUCCUUUUGUCUCUCUCUCAGACAGAAGCUUUCUUUCUCUCAAUAAAUAUAUUCUGCUCAAAAAAAAAAAAAUCUGCUCUUACAAAAAAAAAAUAAAAGCCCACACACAGUUUGUUAGGGCUAAAUAUUGAGACUAUACCAUAUUCCACUAAUUUUUCAUUUUAGGAUGUAAUAUUUGCUUCUUCAGGAAAUUCUUAUCAAUAACUGUUUUUUGAACAUUAAUGAAAGCCCUAUAAAAUAGAUUUGAAGUCAGCAAUCCCUAUCAUACAAUAUAAAAUUUGUUUGGUAACCUGAUUGACAAAGAAUAUACAGUAAUUGGAGUUACUUUGUAUAACACAAUAAAGAUAUUUUCUGAUAAA